GAACACCAUUUUAAUCUUUUGUAGUCCUGUUUCAUAAUUUUUAGAUAAAAGGAACUUUGCAAUAGAAAGCUCUGGUUGUAAGUUCUCCAAUCUGCAAUUUUAAUCAUGAGGAGAGCAAGAUGGGUUAUUCCAGCAUCUGGUAUUGCUUUAUCAAUUGCCAAACAAUAGGAUGUUCCAUGACUUUUUGGUAUAUGUUAUUAACUUUGAAAAUCAGUUCACAUCGUAUGUUUUCCUGAAAUGGGAAGUUUUCUGUGAUCUUUCGCUUUCUUUUGGGAUUAGAAGAAAAAAGAGGAAAAUAGACCCAUUCUGAAGUACAAUGACAUGCUGUGUACAUUAGAAAAGAAACAUUUAAACCUGCUAACAUAGCCUGAGAUUGCUUAAUAGACAUGUAGGCCAAUGAAACUAUAUUAAUAGAUUCUAUUGAGUAUUUCAACAAUACAAAGAAGAUUCAUUACUAGAUUCUCAUUAUUAUUGAUUCUUAGUAUAUUUUCUUUGUGAUGCAAAUAGAUCGUACAGAGACACAAUAAAAGUAGAAGAAGAAGAAGAAGAAGAAGAAGAAGAAGAAGAAGAAGAAGAAGAAACAAUAUAACAUAUCUAACUCUAUUACAUUUUAAAAACACAGAUUUGCGGAUCCUUAUUACACCAUGGAAAUCCUAGCAAGCCAGCCCAAACAAAUAAUGAGUCAUCAGGAAUAGGAAUCUGUCAAGAAGAAAACAGUAUUCGAGUUAAACGUCCUUCAUCCCACCACAUACCAGAUAUUCCUCUGAUCAAGAGAAGGAUAUGGCAAGGCCAUAGUAGACGUAAAGAAAGUGUUGGACCAAUUUGAUGAUUUGCUCAAUGCCGACAGCAUAAUUUUCAAAAAUGCUAGAUGCAAGGUGCUUUUUAGCGAUUACUUUGUGAAACUAUUCAAGAAACUGAUAUCGGCAUGUUUGGAGAAGUUAGCACUCAGCACUAAAUCUGCUACUGAAGCUUCAUGUGGCUACAGACCCAAGAAGCGCAGUGUAGAGAGAAUUUGUAGUAGCCCUUCACUAAUCUUGAAGAAAUUUAAGGUUAAAUCUCAUUGUUUACACAACAGACUAUGGCAUAGGAUAUGAGAUAGAUUCAAAUGUUAACGGUUUGAGACAUGUUGCCAUCGAAGGAUAUCCCAAAGUUGCAAUAUCGCCUGGAGACUGUUUUCAACAGAUAUACAAAUGAUUUUAUGGGAACAUUUUUGUUAUCCCGCAGCAUCGCGCGGGGUACUACCUAGUUACUUUGGAAUGCUACUGGUAUAUUAGAGUUUAGAUGCAGAGAAUGGAGUGUUUUUAUUAAUCUCACCAUGAGGUUUAUAUAGGACUACCUCAGGUAUAUAAAAGGUAACCAUUUAACGAUUACACCUAUUACUUGUAUGAUUA
rnacentral:lncRNA from 1 species